CAGCCGCCGCGGUAAUACGUAGGGUGCAAGCGUUAAUUGGAAUUACUGGGCGUAAAGCGUGCGCAGGCGGCUAUGCAAGACAGAUGUGAAAUCCCCGGGCUCAACCUGGGAACUGCAUUUGUGACUGCAUGGCUAGAGUACGGUAGAGGGGGAUGGAAUUCCGCGUGUAGCAGUGAAAUGCGUAGAUAUGCGGAGGAACACCGAUGGCGAAGGCAAUCCACUGGACCUGUACUGACGCUCAUGCACGAAAGCGUGGGGAGCAAACAGGAUUAGAUACCCCCGUAGUCCCUGUCUCUUAUAC
rnacentral:rRNA from 1 species